rnacentral:rRNA from 1 species
CCUGGCGGCAAUAGCGAGCGUGAACCACCCGAUCCCAUUUCGAACUCGGAAGUGAAACCGUUUAGCGCCGAUGAUAGUGUGGGAGUUCCCAUGUGAAAGUAGGUCACUGCCAGGC